rnacentral:rRNA from 1 species
GACGAACGCUGGCGGCGUGCUUAACACAUGCAAGUCGAACGGAAAGGCCCUGCUUUUGUGGGGUGCUCGAGUGGCGAAAGGGUGAGUAACACGUGAGUAACCUGCCCUUGACUUUGGGAUAACUUCAGGAAACUGGGGCUAAUACCGGAUAGGAGCUCCUGCUGCAUGGUGGGGGUUGGAAAGUUUCGGCGGUUGGGGAUGGACUCGCGGCUUAUCAGCUUGUUGGUGGGGUAGUGGCUUACCAAGGCUUUGACGGGUAGCCGGCCUGAGAGGGUGACCGGCCACAUUGGGACUGAGAUACGGCCCAGACUCCUGCGGGAGGCAGCAGUGGGGAAUAUUGCACAAUGGGCGGAAGCCUGAUGCAGCAACGCCGCGUGCGGGAUGACGGCCUUCGGGUUGUAAACCGCUUUCGCCUGUGACGAAGCGUGAGUGACGGUAAUGGGUAAAGAAGCACCGGCUAACUACGUG